rnacentral:rRNA from 1 species
GAUCAUGGCUCAGGAUGAACGCUAGCUACAGGCUUAACACAUGCAAGUCGAGGGGCAGCAUGUUGGUUGCUUGCAACCAAUGAUGGCGACCGGCGCACGGGUGAGUAACGCGUAUCCAACCUACCCUUGUCCAUCGGAUAACCCGUCGAAAGGCGGCCUAACACGAUAUGCGGUUCACAGCGAGGCACUACGUACGUAGAAACGAAUGUAAAGGAGAAGGAUGGGG